GUUGCUCGGAAUCACUGGGCGUAAAGCGCACGUAGGCGGAUUCCUAAGUCGGGGGUGAAAUCCUGGAGCUCAACUCCAGAACUGCCUUCGAUACUGGGAAUCUUGAGUCCGGAAGAGGUGAGUGGAACUGCGAGUGUAGAGGUGAAAUUCGUAGAUAUUCGCAAGAACACCAGUGGCGAAGGCGGCUCACUGGUCCGGUACUGACGCUGAGGUGCGAAAGCGUGGGGAGCAAACAGG
rnacentral:rRNA from 1 species